CUCUAUUCUAUCUCUUUGCUUCAUCACUUUCUGAAGUUUGCCCUUAUACUUGUCAUAAAAGCUACCUCACCAUGCCAUCUACAUUCCAGGUUGUGAAAAGGAGAAAGAGGAAAUCUGCCAUCAAUGAGGACAUCAUGAAGAAGUUUCAGAAAUUGCAAUUAUCACUUCCACACACAUCCCAUAAGUCUAAACUUAGUCAUGUGAACUGCACCCAUCUACAUAAGAGGGAAGGGAAUGUGAUCUCUAACUGUGAAGCCACGUGCCCAGCUAAGAAUCAAGCCUAUUGUUAAAGAGGAAAGGGAGAAAGGGCACUCGCAACCAGUUCCAGCUGAACAACAUUGAGAAGUGCUGUCGUGUCUCUUUGGGCAGCCAUCAGGAAAUCCUUCACAGUAUAUUAGAAGUCAAGACUCUGGUGGAUGGAAGAAGAUGCAAUCUACUCUAUUUUUGAAACUUCAAGAACAUCAUUUCUGGUCACUGUCAGUCUUUGGUGUUAGAAGUCACGUUCAUUAGCCAAGCUUUAUUCCCAUUAUCUAAAACAUUUUAUAUUCUGUCGAUGCUGAGAACAGUAAUAGAGAAAAUAUUUCAACAAAUAUGACUAAACCACACUUAAAAUUUUAUGAAUAUGUUAAGAGAAGGCUUACAUUAUUUCUCUAUAUUUAUAAGGGAUGGCAGUUUUACAAAGAUUUUGAACUUUUGGAGAAUUUUAUAAUUAAAAAUUUUAUUAUGCGUAUAAUUGUUACUAAGUACAUCUUUAUCCUGAAUAAUUUUAUUAUACAUUCAAUUAGUAUUUUGCAUGCAAAAUUAGUGGCAGUUUCAAUAAUAAUAUAAUAUGCCUUUCCCCUGGAAAAAUACCCCACAUCAAGAAUUUGUAGGAUUUCAGUAAAUAUACCUGAAACAAACAAUGCCGUUACAUUUCUGAAUAGCAAAUAUAAAGAAGUGAUGAAAUUUAAAUCUUAAAGUGUUAGUUAAGAUUCUGAAUUUCAAAAUAGACUAUGACUUUGACAUUCAUUUAAAUAGCUAAUCUGGUUAUUCAAUACUACACAAAUCUGUUUGGUGAAAGAAUACAAAAGAAACAUAUUUGAAGGAGUUUCAUGAAUAGAACACGUAAUCCAAGUAGAAAAUCUUACUCCCAAAAGAUUGUGAAAUUUACUUGCUUUAAAUCACUUCUGAAAUAAGGAUAUAUAAAAAUAUA